AGAGUUUGAUCAUGGCUCAGAAUCAACGCUGGCGGCGUGCCUAACACAUGCAAGUCGAACGAGAAAGUGGAGCAAUCCAUGAGUAAAGUGGCGCACGGGUGAGUAACACGUGACUAACCUACCCUUGAGUGGGGGAUAACCUCGGGAAACCUUGGCUAAUACCGCAUAACACCUACGGGUCAAAGGAGCAAUUCGCUUAAGGAGGGGGUCGCGGCAGAUUAGUUAGUUGGCAGGGUAAUGGCCUACCAAGACAGUGAUCUGUAUCCGGCCUGAGAGGGCGCACGGACACACUGGAACUGAAACACGGUCCAGACUCCUACGGGAGGCAGCAGUGGGGAAUUUUGCGCAAUGGGGGAAACCCUGACGCAGCGACGCCGCGUGGGUGACGAAGGUCUUCGGAUCGUAAAGCCCUGUCGGAAGGGAAGAAAAUUGGUAUGGCUAAUAUCCAUACCACUUGACGGUACCUUUAAAGGAAGCACCGGCUAACUACGUGCCAGCCGCCGCGGUAAUAC
rnacentral:rRNA from 1 species